AUCGAACGCUGGCGGCAGGCCUAACACAUGCAAGUCGAGCGAGGACUUCGGUUCUAGCGGCGGACGGGUGAGUAACGCGUGGGAAUGUGCCCUUCUCUACGGAAUAGCCCUGGGAAACUGGGAGUAAUACCGUAUACGCCCUAUUGGGGAAAGAUUUAUCGGAGAAGGAUCAGCCCGCGUUGGAUUAGGUAGUUGGUGGGGUAAUGGCCUACCAAGCCGACGAUCCAUAGCUGGUUUGAGAGGAUGAUCAGCCACACUGGGACUGAGACACGGCCCAGACUCCUACGGGAGGCAGCAGUGGGGAAUCUUAGACAAUGGGGGCAACCCUGAUCUAGCCAUGCCGCGUGAGUGAUGAAGGCCUUAGGGUUGUAAAGCUCUUUCAGCUGGGAAGAUAAUGACGAUACCAGCAGAAGAAGCCCCGGCUAACUCCGUG
rnacentral:rRNA from 1 species